GUGCUUGCUUCAGCAGCACAUAUACUAAAAUUGGAAUGACACAAAGAAGAUUAGCACGGCCCCUGUGCAAGGAUGACAUGCAAAUGUGUGAAGUGUUCCAUGUUUUU
rnacentral:snRNA from 1 species